UUUUGAAGCGCUGGCAUUUUCUCUCUCAGCAGCCCCAUCACUGAUGACUAACAGUUCCUGAUGAAGCAUCAACUGGACUGCCUGUUUUUUUUCUUUUUUCAAGAAUUUUUUUGCAUGACGUUGGACAUUUCACAUCUGGAGACCUUGUGUCGGAAUUUGUGACGUGACUCACAUUGACCUCGACAGCCCUGUUUGGGUCCUUAGAGAAACCCACGGGGACCUCAGCACUGGGGUUUCAGGAGUGAGGAGCAGGGAGGAUGGACGAGGUUGUCUCAGACUGGCCACUUUCCAAGGGGUAAACUUGCUCUAUCCACAGUGUAACCCAGUGUCCAUGGGGAGCCUGGGACUGCCCAGUGGAGCAACCUG